GGCACUGUGGCUUAGUUGGUUAAAGUGCCUGUCUAGUAAACAAGAGAUCCUGGGUUUGAAUCCCAGUGGUGCCU
rfam:Astyanax mexicanus chromosome 25, whole genome shotgun sequence.